ACAACAUUUGGACCGUUGGUCUAUCAAGCAAUGGUCACCCGCUCGGUGGAAGAUUUUCCUUUCGUUGU
rnacentral:pre_miRNA from 1 species